GUGACCUCAAAUCAGGCAGGACUACCCGCUGAACUUAAGCAUAUCAAUAAGCGGAGGAAAAGAAACUAACAAGGAUUCCCCUAGUAUCUGCGAGUGAAGCGGGAAAAGCUCAAAUUUAAAAUCUGGCAGUCUUAUGGCUGUCCGAGUUGUAAUCUAGAGAAGUGUUAUCCGCGCUGGACCGUGUWCAAGUCUCCUGGAAUGGAGCAUCAUAGAGGGUGAGAAUCCCGUCUUUGACAUGGACUACCAGGGCUUUGUGAUGCGCUCUCAAAGAGUCGAGUUGUUUGGGAAUGCAGCUCAAAAUGGGUGGUAAAUUCCAUCUAAAGCUAAAUAUUGGCGAGAGACCGAUAGCGAACAAGUACCGUGAGGGAAAGAUGAAAAGAACUUUGGAAAGAGAGUUAAACAGUACGUGAAAUUGCUGAAAGGGAAACGCUUGAAGUCAGUCGCGUCAUCCAGGGAUCAACCUUGCUUUUGCUUGGUGCACUUUCUGGUUUGAUGGGUCAGCAUCAAUUUUGACCAUUGGAAAAAGGCUGAGGGAAUGUGGCAUCUUUGGAUGUGUUAUAGCCCUUGGUCACAUACAAUGGUUGGGAUUGAGG
rnacentral:rRNA from 1 species